GUCUAUUCACCAGUGUCCUGGAAACUAUUUUUUUGCGUCAAGUAAAAAAAGAACCAGUAACCGAUUCAACAAUAAUUGAAUCGAGAGAGUACUGUUGCAGUCCAAAAUGCGAUAGUUUUAUGGAAAAGCUUGGUAGACCACACGUUAAACUUGUUAAGUGUACGUGACUUUUUAGUAAACACAAUAAAGGUUUUCUAAAAUA
rnacentral:lncRNA from 1 species